rnacentral:rRNA from 1 species
GGCUCUUUGAUAUACUUGAAUAAAGAGUCGGACCUGCCCGGUGAGGUAUAUCUUUAACGGCCGCGGUACUUUGACCGUGCAAAGGUAGCAUAAUCAUUUGCCCUAUAAUUGGGGGCUAGUAUGAAUGGUUUGACAAGAGCAUUUCUGUCUCUAUAAAAUUUUAUAGAACUUAAUUUUCAGCUGAAGAAGCCUGAAUAUAAUUAAAAGACAAGAAGACCCUAUCGAGCUUUAAAUAAAUUAUUGGAUUUAUAAACAUAUUUAUAGAGUUGUGACCUUAAAUUAUUUUGGUUGGGGCGACUAAGGAACAAGAAAAGCUUCUUAUUAAUAGAGAGUGAACAGACUAUGAUCCAAAAGUUUUGAUUAAAGGAAUUAGUUACCGUAGGGAUAACAGCAUAAUUUUUUUUAAGAGUUCUUAUCGAAAAAAAGGUUUGUGACCUCGAUGUUGGACCAGAAUAUCCUGAAGAUGUAGCCGUCUUCAAGGGUUGGUCUGUUCGACCAUUAAAAUUCUACGUGAUCUGAGUUCAGACCG